UACGUAGGGUGCGAGCGUUGUCCGGAAUUAUUGGGCGUAAAGGGCUCGUAGGCGGUCUGUCACGUCGAAAGUGAAAACUCAGGGCUCAACCCUGAGCCUGCUUCCGAUACGGGCAGACUAGAGGUAUGCAGGGGAGAAUGGAAUUCCUGGUGUAGCGGUGAAAUGCGCAGAUAUCAGGAGGAACACCAGUGGCGAAGGCGGUUCUCUGGGCAUUACCUGACGCUGAGGAGCGAAAGCGUGGGGAGCGAACAGG
rnacentral:rRNA from 1 species